ACACCUGAAUUUGUGAGAAUUCCCAGUCUCCCUCAGUCCCUCCCCUCCAGCCGGCUCUCUCAUCCUCCCCCUCCGCCACCCUCGGGCUCCGGCUCUCCCCUCCGCUUCCGGCCAUCUCGGCCUCUCCUCCGCCUCCGGCCUCCGCGGACCACCCUGUAGGUUGUAGAAGAGGAGGCGUACGCAUUGCCUAGCAAGUCUCCAGCUUCAAGCGAUUGACGGCGAUCUGGAUUCCGUCUGGAUUAGAGCAGUGCAGCAGGAAGAGGAUCAGGGGGUGGUGGUGGUCCAGGCCAUGGGGGCGGGGAGGUCGGACGGGGAGAGGAGAGAUAGCCCUAAGGACGAGGUCCUCGCCGGCUGAAUCGAAUCGAGAAUUCGUCAGCUCCUCCCACCCCUGCGGUCACAUCUCUCUUGGAGAUCCUCUUCAACCCGGAGUUCCUCGUGGAGGGCACCCGCUCACCCCGGCGUGUGGAGAGGAGGUAGGCCGCCCCUCCUUGCGGGCGUCGCUGGAGGAGACAGGGCGCGCGGGAACAUCGGAUGUGGAACAACUGCUGCCAUGGUCCUCAUCCGGCCUUAAUUUCAAGAUACGGUGUAGUGGACUAGGAUGGGAAGGGAGGAGGCCGUGGCCAAGGAGGAAGAGCAGCGGGGCGAUAGGGACCUGCAAUGUGGGAACGAAGGUGUGCACUGGUCGACACCCCAUCGUGGGGAAGACAAGAGGUGUAGGUUCCGAUCUGAUCCUGUGACUAGAAGUAGCCGGGAGCUGCAAGGGCAAGUCAAAGAUGAGUGUGGUUCGGUUCAGUUUAGGCAACAAGAGCUGCAUUGUGAUCAUGGCACGGUAACUUGUCGUCGACAUGGUUCUCAGUGAGUAAUCCAUAUGGGAGACCCCUGCCAUUGUCUUCUUUAGUGACAAGCAGUGGUUCAUCGGCACUGCAAGCACUGCGAACUCCAGCAUGAACCCAAAGACUUUAAGUUUCUUUUAAGUUCUAUUCUAAUAGUACAUGUCUAGAUUUCAUCUAUCAUGCAUGUCACCGAACACAACAUCCCAACUGAGCUCAUCGACCAGCUGCGCAACGCCGGCACUACCAAGAACAAGGAGGUGUAUGCUAAACAAUUCAUCACAUCUCCUGUUGUUGAACUGCCUAUUAUGCAAAUUAUUGGCAUGUUUUCUUGUGGGUUUGUUUUGCCUCAAUGGUACUAUUCUUCUGGAAGAUUUUGUUUCAAGUUUGCAGUUCGAUUUACAAACAUGAAGAUAUAAGGAUGGGAGAUCAACAUAUUCAUGUUUUCUCUGGUAAAUGUGAAGUUCCGGUCUAUCAAAAAAGCGGCUAAUGUCUAGCAAUCUGCAGCAAGAACUUUAUCCACUCAUCUGGUCCAACUUACACCCAUGGAAUUCCCCAUCCACAUCUCUCUGUUCGUGAAAGCAAUUGCUGGAUUUGUAUGCAUUGCAGCAGUCAGCCAGAGGCUUCCAGUUUUUCCUCCAUCUGAAGCCUAGCGCUUAGAGAUCUUGUCCUCUGCAUUACCUGGUAUUUCAUUUGUUUUAGUCAUUCAGUUGACUAAAAUCAGCUCAGCUCUUCUUUCGUUUGGAAAGAUAUAUUCUGAAGCAAAAUAAUGUCCGAACAACCUGAGCUUAGACAUACAUCAAUUUUGGUGUCCUAAUCGGGGAAUUAUGAAGACAGGCAUACGUGGAAAUGUCUGCUAAUAUGGUAAAUAUAAUGUUAAAGGAUGGAAGAUUUCCAUGUGAAGCUAGAUACAACGCUCUGUUGUAUACAUGAUAUAUAUAUUGAAGGAAUUUGACCAGUCGCUUGAUUUUCUUGCUGAGAUGCAGUGGGAAAGUUAAAACCAAGCAAGAUGUCCUGUGAUAUGCACGAGUGACCUUUGGUGCCAUGGGAAGAAAAGUUAUGCCAAGAAGAUUUCGGAGAUGCUAUUGACCUUUGGUUCUGUACCGUCCUUUGGCAUGUAUAGAACUGUUUCUGAUAACUACUGUAGGUCCAACCUGGAAGCUGCAGAACUUUUGCUUCACGUGCAGCAAGAAGGACAUGUACCCCACUUUGAGAUGCAAUGGUCUGUGAUAAGCAAUUUAUAAGCAGUACUAAUAGGAAGACUGAAGGACAUGAACAAUCUCUAUUUCCAGUCAUGUGCAUGGAUCUCAAGCAAUAAAAAUGGGUGGUGGAGAUAGGGUACAAUGGUUGUUGGAGGGGCUCCUGAUGUAUGGCGGUUGGAGUUGACAAAGAUCUGGCCUCCUCGUCACCGGGCGACAGCCUAGAUGUUGCAGAUGACCUUCCAUCACACUUUAGUUUGACCUGAACUGCCUCAGGGGCAGCCACCAGUGCAUUUUCACAGACCUUCUCUCCACUAAUUGCAUACGGUUGUUAAGGACGCCAAAAAAGUACAUAUUCCACCUUUUCAACCUAUAUUUUUAAUAACCAGUUGUUCGACCCACGCUUUAUAUAUACAUGCGAUGAUUGAUUUUAUCUUCUAUCAAAUACUUGAUAAACUGCAACAUCUUGAAUCCAAAUGUAUUUUUACUUGAAGUCUUGAACGAUGCAGUUGAUUAGAUUUUAGAGUGCAUAUUUGUUUAAAUUUCAAUGAACACCAGGUUAUUUCUCCUGUUGCAACGCACGGGCAUAUGUACUAGAUGUUGUGGCCGCACCGAUGAGAAGCCGCUAGAUGUCCCUCUACGUGCUAACACCGAGUACAAUUCCAAAUUCUUUUGGAUGGACCGAGUAGAAUUACCUGGCUGCUAUUUUGUUUGUACGACCAUGGUUUAAUAGGUAAUAUUAAAAAAAUAUUUUUUUGAAGGAAACGAUAUUUGGGGCUCUCUUGUGGACUAGCUGACCGUCAAUAUAUUUUUCCACUCUAUAUGUUACCAGUGCCGUUGGUGUGAGAUACAGAGGAGGGAGGGAGGGAUGGAGAGUUGAAAGAGUACAACGACGGUGCAUCUUGCUUGAACUGGGUGAAGGAGGGGCCACGUCCUGUUCGCUCCGCACGUCGGCUAUGGAGAGAGAGAGGGAGAGAGAAGCAUGUGAUCAUGCCUAGGAUGUCCAUGUCCUUAGUCCUUCCAUACCCCACCUUCAUGUGGCUACUCCCCUCUGUCGUACCAUCUCUCCCCCGGCUUUGCAUGCUCCAAUACUGGUCCUCCUUGAGGCUGUGAUGUUGGUGUCAGGGGAAGCAUGGUUGCGUUGAUGCAGUCGGUUUGCUCCUAUUGUUGACGACAGUGUGAACAAAAGAGCACCAAUCAUUGUAAACUCUUUAUUUUCUAAACGACCAUCUUAUCUUUGAAGUGGGCAAAUAUAAAAAAUGAAUUCACAUUAAGACAAUGAAGAAUUUAACAGAGUGAGAGAUAUAGCUCAGUAUUUCACCACGACAGAUAAACUCCUCAAUAUCACGUGAACUUUGAAAUUUACUUUAUACCCGUUGCAACGCACGGGCUCUUCUGCUAGUAAUAAUAAAGCAUAGAUUGACUCCGUGGGUUCACCGUCACAAUACGUUUUCUUUCUGUGAAUUUGCGCUUUCAGUUUUUAUUAAAUGUAAUGAUUUUAGAUCUUUCUUAGUUCGUUGUGGUACUAUUCAUGUGAUCAUAUGGCCCGCCACGCACGACUAUUCCGUUGUUCCUGUUAUUAAUCAGGAAGAAGCGUUUUGGUACCUAAAAGAUCUCCACGAACAGGAAAAAGGAGUUGAUCAAGGACACGAGACGGACCGAGUUGACGUCCAUCGAGAUCAACCUACCACGCCUACAUAUAAAAACAGGAGAGGAGGCGGCGGCCAGAGGUAAGGGACGAGGAAGUGCCCAGGGCCGCGGCGGCUGGAGCUUGGAGGGGCCGGAUCCUUGCGCGUCAGGGGCUGGGGAGGCGGAUCCGGAGGUGGGUGGCGCGGGGGUGUCGCCGGUGACGGCGAGGAAGGCCGGAGCGCGGCUUCUCGGGCAGAAACGAGACAAGGAGGUGAGGAGAGAAGAAGCGACAAGCGACAAAGGAAGGGGGGUGCGACGACCUAGGCAGGAGCUCGCCGGAGCCGGGCGACGACCGACGGGCGCGGGUGACGGAGGGAUACGACACGGCGUUGCGAAAUCCUUUGCGGGUGCGAGCGGACGACGCGGAACCCUCCUGUCGCUAUGGAUGCUGCUACACCCGCACCACCAGCCCAAGGUCAGUCUCCUCUACCUGGUUGACUGGUUCUAUAGCGCAGCUCCCGUCUCGCACCAUGCUGCUGAACUUCUGCCCCUCAACCCCACCGCUCCUCCUAAAUUAGCUCAAUGGCGUUGACUCUUCCAUAGAGGAUGGUGUGGUGUCAGGCCAGGCAGCAUAACACUCGACGAGUACACGUUCUGCAGCCCUCGAGGCUGAGCAGCCGCCAUUGGCUCGUGGGUAUGGAAGCAGAGUCCGGGAUGGCGAUGGUGCCAAGGAGGACUCUUGGACGUCCACCAAUUGCAUCGCUGCUGCCGUACCCAUGGAGUGGCGCGGCUCCAACUACUCUGAGAUGGUAUUCCUCCCUCUUUCUUUCCUAACAGAACUAUUCGGUGUCAUCCCCUUUUUUAAAUGAAGUACAACCUGCUAGCUACCUAAUGGGCACUGCCACUGAACUUGUCAACCCCUUCAGUUCUGCCGAUGCAUUGUAGACUCCAACAAUGGUGGAAAGGAAUCAGAUUCCAAUGAAACUAGCACUAUUGUGUUUUUAGACAGUUGCCUUUUUUUGCUAAAUUACCUAGCUUCUUCGUGGUAGAGUAGGUACAAAGAUACUCUCUGAUGAAUUUGAUUGGUAUUGUGUAAAGUAGAAAGCCUGAAAUUACUUCGUUGGUAACUGAGUUAACUAAUCCCAGAACUAGAAACAGGUAGGUGAUCGAAAGAUUUGCGGAUUGUGAACCUUUUACUCAGUCUUAUCCCUAGGGUGCACAACAUUUGCUUUUAGCAAAGGGUAUCUAUUGUUGAGAUUCUUACAAAUUGCUGGGAGUCAGCACAAAGUACAUGGAACACAUUGGUGCGAUAUUUUAAAAUUGUGAAACAGCCUCCAAGCUACUUGUGAAGGUGUCAAUUUCUGCAUCGAUAAAGAUUCAAUUAUACUUCUGAUGGGAUUUUUUCUGUUAGCUAUCUGUACAAGAGAAUGAACUUGAGAAAUAUUAAUUUCUAGAUAAAUUUCUUUGGAAAGUGAAGCUUCCCCUGAAAAUUAAAGUUUUUCAUGGCUG